UCAUUCUCUGUGGAGAAAUCAGAAGCGUCCUUUCACACAAGAUCUCAGUCCCGGGAGCAGCCGAUGCACACUGGAUACUGCAGAGCAAGGGCAUCCUCCUGAAAAGGUCUCAGCACACCACCCGUCCGGCUACACCAAGUCACAGAAGAGAUAUCAGGGUGUUGGGAACCAGGAAUAAGGUCAAGGAAUCAGAAGAAAAUACCCAAGAUGAGAGGAGAAGAUGCCUCUGGAAGCAGACUUCAAAUAUCCUGUAGUGUAAGAGGCUGGCCCUCCAGUGGCAAUGGCGUUCUCAGUUCUUCUGGCUUACUCUCACCACAGUGUGCUCCUUCAUCAUGGAUGUCUGUCUUGAGUCCCUGCAUGAGUCUCCUUUCAAGGGCAAUACACUGACUCAG